rnacentral:rRNA from 1 species
UACAGAGGUCUCAAGCGUUGUUCGGAUUCAUUGGGCGUAAAGGGCGCGUAGGCGGUGCGGUAAGUCACUUGUGAAAUCUCCGAGCUUAACUCGGAACGGCCAAGUGAUACUGCAGUACUAGAGUGCGGAAGGGGCAAUCGGAAUUCUUGGUGUAGCGGUGAAAUGCGUAGAUAUCAAGAGGAACACCUGAGGUGAAGACGGGUUGCUGGGCCGACACUGACGCUGAUGCGCGAAAGCCAGGGGAGCAAACGGG